rnacentral:rRNA from 1 species
GAGUUUGAUCUUGGCUCAGAUUGAACGCUGGCGGCAUGCCUUACACAUGCAAGUCGGAACGGCAGCACGGGAGCUUGCUCCUGGUGGCGAGUGGCGAACGGGUGAGUAAUGCAUCGGAACGUAUCCUGGAGUGGGGGAUAACGUAGCGAAAGUUACGCUAAUACCGCAUAUUCUGUGAGCAGGAAAGCGGGGGACCUUCGGGCCUCGCGCUCUUGGAGCGGCCGAUGUCGGAUUAGCUAGUUGGUGAGGUAAAGGCGUCACCAAGGCGACGAUCCGUAGCAGGUCUGAGAGGAUGAUCUGCCACACUGGAACUGAGACACGGUCCAGACUCCUACGGGAGGCAGCAGUGGGAAUUUUGGACAAUGGGGGCAACCCUGAUCCAGCCAUGCCGCGUGAGUG